UGGGGAAUUUUGCGCAAUGGGCGAAAGCCUGACGCAGCAACGCCGCGUGGAGGAUGAAGGCCUUCGGGUCGUAAACUCCUGUCAGGGGGGACGAAAAAAAUGACUGUACCCCUUGAGGAAGCCACGGCUAACUCCGUGCCAGCAGCCGCGGUAAUACGGAGGUGGCAAGCGUUGUUCGGAAUUACUGGGCGUAAAGGGCGCGUAGGCGGCUUUACAAGUCAGAUGUGAAAGCCCUGAGCUUAACUCAGGAAUUGCAUCUGAAACUGUUUUGCUUGAGUCCUGGAGGGGGUAGUGGAAUUCCCAGUGUAGCGGUGAAAUGCGUAGAUAUUGGGAGGAACACCUGUGGCGAAGGCGGCUACCUGGACAGUGACUGACGCUGAUGCGCGAAAGCUAGGGGAGCAAACGGG
rnacentral:rRNA from 1 species